GCUCAGCAUAUGUGGAAACUCCUAAGACUGUUGGACACAUUCCAGUUUAGAACUCAUCCCACGGCUGGUUGGACUGGAUGAUACAGUGCUGGUGGAACGCAAUGGCUGGCAACAAUACCUCACUCCGUACUUUAGGCAGGUGCCACAAAUCAAGCAGUACCAGCACUUCAGCUUCGAUGCUUUGGAGCCUGGUGUUGUUGCCAAGGAGCGUUCUGACUCAGUCGGGGCCAGGUUUCAGCUGCAGCGCAGCGCUGACAUCCUUUCACCUCUAGAUGGUCUGCCUGUACUGGACUGUAUACAGCUAGACAAAAACUAAUCUUUCUGAGAAGAUCAAGGAGUUUUGUGACGAAGAGGCUAUGGACAUCACAUGCCAUUCACCAAAGUCGAGAGCUGGACAGAAACAUGCUCCGAAUAUCGAUUCCCUUGUUCAUGCGUGGUUCGGACGGACCAGUUCAUCACUGGGGGCGAGUUCCCAGUAAUCAGCACUCUGCACUGCCUCUAUUCACUUGACUCUCCUAACACACGCCAUAUGUUGCUUCUACUUUUUUUUAUCAAGAUGCUCAGCCACUUUACCCCUGAUUUAUAUGCAUAUAACUACCUCUAUCACUGAUCGUUAUUGAUAUUCUUGUACACACAAUAUAUAAUUUGGUUCUUUCUCUACUGGCAUUGACAAUUGUGUCACUAUAAAGAAAAAAAAGAAUCUAUCUUUGAUAUUGCUACUAUGCAAGUAACCAUUUCGCCGUACUGUUUAUACCUUCU